rnacentral:rRNA from 1 species
UACGUAGGUGGCAAGCGUUGUCCGGAUUUACUGGGCGUAAAGAGCGCGCAGGCGGUCGUUCAAGUCGCGUGUGAAAGCCCCCGGCUCAACUGGGGAGGGUCACGCGAUACUGUUCGACUCGAAGGCAGGAGAGGGAAGUGGAAUUCCCGGUGUAGUGGUGGAAAUGCGUAGAUAUCAAGAGGAACACCAGUGGCGAAGGCGAGUCCCUGGACGAGUACCUGACACUGAGGCACGAAAGCCAAGGGAGCAAACAGG